UCCUACUUAGUGGUCCUACCCCAACAAAGG
rnacentral:piRNA from 1 species